UCGGCGCUAUGGUCGCGCUGGAACGCCUCGAGCCGCUGCAACUGGCUCUGCUUCUCUUCCUCGCUCGAGCGUGCGAGUUCGAUGGUCUGCGGCACCGGA
rnacentral:tRNA from 1 species